rnacentral:lncRNA from 1 species
UGUUGUCAACAAAUUGGAUGAUUCUCUGUAACUGCAGGAUCUGAUCCAUAAGGAGAUCGAAGUGGGCUGAAAUCUGGAAAAAGGAUAAAAGGUUUAGCUACCUGCAAAGGUAAUGCUCUAUUCAUUAAAAUUCUUACUGAAUAAAUUUGCAGUAGGUAGCCUUAAAGAAUUACCUGUGUGGGAAGUUCAUUUAAUGAUGGGUUCAGACCACAUUCUGCUUGCUCAAAUGUGUACCUCCGCGGUUGAGUUUCAAAUCUUUCGUUCUGAAAUGUAGAGUUUGGACAAUCAGAACAAGGUUGCUGCAUACUGUGGUAGUACUUUUCAUACGGUUCUUUUUGGGAGUGGAAUUCUUCUGAGCUGUCUUCAGGAAUUCGGAUUUCAAACACAACCUGAUUCAGUGGUGGAAAAGAACUUAAUCAUACUGUAUGCAUAAUGUGUAAUAGAGAAAAAAAAGAGUAAUCAAAGCGGAGAUGGUCAGUACAUCUUACUUUUCCAUGUCCUGGUCCAUACUUGAUAUCAUAUUUGUUUCUUGAGGAGACAUUUUUUUCAUUCCAAUAUGACAUCAGAGGUGGUAACCGAUUACUGUAACUUAGCUUAUAGCUUCCUUCCUCAACAUGGACAUGUUCCCAGAACCAAAACUGCA